GACAGAGGGUGCAAACGUUGUUCGGAAUCACUGGGCGUAAAGCGCGUGUAGGCUGCUUCGCAAGUCGGAUGUGAAAGCCCUGGGCUCAACCCAGGAAGUGCAUUCGAAACUGCAGAGCUGGAGUCCUGGAGAGGAAGGCGGAAUUCUCGGUGUAGAGGUGAAAUUCGUAGAUAUCGAGAGGAACACCGGUGGCGAAGGCGGCCUUCUGGACAGUGACUGACGCUGAGACGCGAAAGCGUGGGGAGCAAACAGG
rnacentral:rRNA from 1 species